CCUAGCCGUAAAAUAUUAACCUACACCUUACCCGCCAGGGAAUUACGAGCCCAAGCUUAAAACCCAAAGGACUUGACGGUGUCCCCACCCACCUAGAGGAGCCUGUUCUAUAAUCGAUUCCCCCCGAUUCACCUCACCACUUCUAGCCUCUAUCAGCCUGUAUACCUCCGUCGCAAGCUUACCAUGUGAACGUUUACCUAGUGAGCAAAAAGAUUUUCCCCAUCAACACGUCAGGUCAAGGUGCAGCCCACGAAGUGGGAAGUAAUGGGCUACAAUUUCUACGAUAGAACACACGAAAGACUACAUGCAACUCAGUCAUGAAGGCGGAUUUAGUAGUAAAAAGAAAAUAGAGAGUUCUUUUUAAAUAGGCACUGGGACGCGUACACACCGCCCGUCACCCUCUUCAACUGCCCAAACUGCGUAUUUAACACCCAUUAGCACUACAGAAGAGGUAAGUCGUAACACGGUAAGCGUACUGGAAAGUGCGCUUGGAUUA
rnacentral:rRNA from 1 species